rnacentral:tRNA from 1 species
GGGGUUGUGGCUCAGCGGCAGAGCACUCGCCUAGCACAUGUGAGGCCCUGGGUUCGAUCCUCAGCACCACA